UACGUAGGGUGCGAGCGUUGUCCGGAAUUAUUGGGCGUAAAGGGCUCGUAGGCGGUUUGUCGCGUCGGGAGUGAAAACGCCGUGCUUAACACGGCGCUUGCUUUCGAUACGGGCAGACUAGAGGUAUGCAGGGGAGAACGGAAUUCCUGGUGUAGCGGUGGAAUGCGCAGAUAUCAGGAGGAACACCGGUGGCGAAGGCGGGUCUCUGGGCAGUAACUGACGCUGAGGAGCGAAAGCGUGGGGAGCGAACAGG
rnacentral:rRNA from 1 species